rnacentral:lncRNA from 1 species
GGCCGGGAGGCGGAGCCGGCUGCGCUGGCGGCUCUUGGGCGCUGGGGCGGCUACUGGCCACGGGGCGAGCGGGGGAGCCUCAGCGCCGCCGGGAGCCGCUCCGUCCCUCCCCGGGGAACCGCCGGAGCCUUGGAGGUUGUCCAGCCUGGAUCCCGGCGCUGGGGACCCGAAGCAAGGACCCUGACUUGAUGCACGCCGAGUACGAGCUGACUUCUUGAGGGGAAGGAGGAUUACUCCGAAGGCCUGUCCCCUCAAAGCAGGACGCAGGUAAGGGCAACAGCCCUCCUGAUGCUGAGGUUCUGCUGCUGCUGGGCUCUGGCCUCGCCGCGGAGGACACUCAGCAGAGGGGGGUUUUU